rnacentral:lncRNA from 1 species
CCUUAAUUUAGAGAGAUUGUCCUUUGCAUCUAGCUACACAAACAUCAAAGCAUCUCAUUUUUUGUAAUCCAUCCACCUACAUACAUAUUAAAGCACACAACCUUAUCAUCUAUUCACCUACAUCGAUCUCAAAGUACUCCAUUCUGUUCGUUCACCAUCGGUACAGAUCUUAAAGUACUUAAUCCUCUGUCAUUCAUUUGCUAGCAUAAAUUUUAAAGUGCUUCGGCCUCAAUCCAUCCCUCCACAUGCAUAGAUCUAAAAGAGCUUCAUUCUUUAUCAUUUAUCUACCUGCAUAGAUCUUAAAGUAUUCCAUCUACAAUCUAUUUGCCCACACAUAUGUUAAAGCACUUCGUCUAUCAUCUAUUCGCCCACAU